rnacentral:lncRNA from 1 species
UGGCCAUUUCAGUUUUUGAGUUUAAAAAACUUCUAAAUUUCUAACAAGUUUAAAUGGUUAAAUGCAUAGUUUGUGGAGUUGUGAGAAGUUAUGCAUAACUAUCACCUUUCUAAACAGUACAAAAGUCACAAAACAUAUAUAAUUUGUGGAAAAUUAGGCCAGCUCUCCUUGCAUCUGUUACUUUCUUCAUAGUUGCAUUUCAUGUCUAAUUAGGCAGCUUUGCUGAUUAUCCCCAAUUUGUAAUUAGUACCUGUAUAUGCACUUGUUUUCAGCAAUAAAUUAAGAUAACUUACAAUAUGUAAUUUUACUUUCAUGUAAUGGGAUUUAGUGCAUGAUAGUACCAUUUAGUGUCAUAUACCAUUUUUCUUUUGUGACCUGUUGUAGUAUAGCCAACUACUCCU